rnacentral:rRNA from 2 species
UUAAGCGACUAAGCGUACACGGUGGAUGCCCUGGCAGUCAGAGGCGAUGAAGGACGUGCUAAUCUGCGAAAAGCGUCGGUAAGGUGAUAUGAACCGUUACAGCCGGCGAUGUCCGAAUGGGGAAACCCAGUGUGAUUCGUCACACUAUCGUUAACUGAAUACAUAGGUUAACGAGGCGAACCGGGGGAACUGAAACAUCUAAGUACCCCGAGGAAAAGAAAUCAACCGAGAUUCCCCCAGUAGCGGCGAGCGAACGGGGAGCAGCCCAGAGUCUGAAUCAGCUUGUGUGUUAGUGGAACGGUCUGGAAAGUCCGACGGUACAGGGUGAUAGUCCCGUACACCAAAAUGCACAGGUUGUGAACUCGAAGAGUAGGGCGGGACACGUGGUAUCCUGUCUGAAUAUGGGGGGACCAUCCUCCAAGGCUAAAUACUCCUGACUGACCGAUAGUGAACCAGUACCGUGAGGGAAAGGCGAAAAGAACCCCGGCGAGGGGAGUGAAAAAGAACCUGAAACCGUGUACGUACAAGCAGUGGGAGCACCUUCGGGUGUGACUGCGUACCUUUUGUAUAAUGGGUCAGCGACUUAUAUUCUGUAGCAAGGUUAACCGUAUAGGGGAGCCGCAGGGAAACCGAGUCUUAACUGGGCGUUAAGUUGCAGGGUAUAGACCCGAAACCCGGUGAUCUAGCCAUGGGCAGGUUGAAGGUUGGGUAACACUAACUGGAGGACCGAACCGACUAAUGUUGAAAAAUUAGCGGAUGACUUGUGGCUGGGGGUGAAAGGCCAAUCAAACCGGGAGAUAGCUGGUUCUCCCCGAAAGCUAUUUAGGUAGCGCCUCGUGAACUCAUCUUCGGGGGUAGAGCACUGUUUCGGCUAGGGGGUCAUCCCGACUUACCAACCCGAUGCAAACUACGAAUACCGAAGAAUGUUAUCACGGGAGACACACGGCGGGUGCUAACGUCCGUCGUGAAGAGGGAAACAACCCAGACCGCCAGCUAAGGUCCCAAAGUCAUGGUUAAGUGGGAAACGAUGUGGGAAGGCACAGACAGCCAGGAUGUUGGCUUAGAAGCAGCCAUCAUUUAAAGAAAGCGUAAUAGCUCACUGGUCGAGUCGGCCUGCGCGGAAGAUGUAACGGGGCUAAACCAUGCACCGAAGCUGCGGCAGCGACACUAUGUGUUGUUGGGUAGGGGAGCGUUCUGUAAGCCUGCGAAGGUGUGCUGUGAGGCAUGCUGGAGGUAUCAGAAGUGCGAAUGCUGACAUAAGUAACGAUAAAGCGGGUGAAAAGCCCGCUCGCCGGAAGACCAAGGGUUCCUGUCCAACGUUAAUCGGGGCAGGGUGAGUCGACCCCUAAGGCGAGGCCGAAAGGCGUAGUCGAUGGGAAACAGGUUAAUAUUCCUGUACUUGGUGUUACUGCGAAGGGGGGACGGAGAAGGCUAUGUUAGCCGGGCGACGGUUGUCCCGGUUUAAGCAUGUAGGCUGGUUAUCCAGGCAAAUCCGGAUAAUCAAGGCUGAGGUGUGAUGACGAGGCACUACGGUGCUGAAGUAACAAAUGCCCUGCUUCCAGGAAAAGCCUCUAAGCAUCAGGUAACAUUGAAUCGUACCCCAAACCGACACAGGUGGUCAGGUAGAGAAUACCAAGGCGCUUGAGAGAACUCGGGUGAAGGAACUAGGCAAAAUGGUGCCGUAACUUCGGGAGAAGGCACGCUGGUGUGUAGGUGAAGUCCCUGCGGAUGGAGCUGAGACCAGUCGAAGAUACCAGCUGGCUGCAACUGUUUAUUAAAAACACAGCACUGUGCAAACACGAAAGUGGACGUAUACGGUGUGACGCCUGCCCGGUGCCGGAAGGUUAAUUGAUGGGGUUAUCCGUAAGGAGAAGCUCUUGAUCGAAGCCCCGGUAAACGGCGGCCGUAACUAUAACGGUCCUAAGGUAGCGAAAUUCCUUGUCGGGUAAGUUCCGACCUGCACGAAUGGCGUAAUGAUGGCCAGGCUGUCUCCACCCGAGACUCAGUGAAAUUGAACUCGCUGUGAAGAUGCAGUGUACCCGCGGCAAGACGGAAAGACCCCGUGAACCUUUACUAUAGCUUGACACUGAACAUUGAGCCUUGAUGUGUAGGAUAGGUGGGAGGCUUUGAAGCGUGGACGCCAGUCUGCGUGGAGCCAACCUUGAAAUACCACCCUUUAAUGUUUGAUGUUCUAACGUUGGCCCCUGACCGGGGUUGCGGACAGUGUCUGGUGGGUAGUUUGACUGGGGCGGUCUCCUCCUAAAGCGUAACGGAGGAGCACGAAGGUUAGCUAAUCCUGGUCGGACAUCAGGAGGUUAGUGCAAUGGCAUAAGCUAGCUUGACUGCGAGCGUGACGGCGCGAGCAGGUGCGAAAGCAGGUCAUAGUGAUCCGGUGGUUCUGAAUGGAAGGGCCAUCGCUCAACGGAUAAAAGGUACUCCGGGGAUAACAGGCUGAUACCGCCCAAGAGUUCAUAUCGACGGCGGUGUUUGGCACCUCGAUGUCGGCUCAUCACAUCCUGGGGCUGAAGUAGGUCCCAAGGGUAUGGCUGUUCGCCAUUUAAAGUGGUACGCGAGCUGGGUUUAGAACGUCGUGAGACAGUUCGGUCCCUAUCUGCCGUGGGCGCUGGAGAAUUGAGGGGGGCUGCUCCUAGUACGAGAGGACCGGAGUGGACGCAUCACUGGUGUUCGGGUUGUCAUGCCAAUGGCACUGCCCGGUAGCUAAAUGCGGAAGAGAUAAGUGCUGAAAGCAUCUAAGCACGAAACUUGCCCCGAGAUGAGUUCUCCCUGAGACUUUAAGUCUCCUGAAGGAACGUUGAAGACGACGACGUUGAUAGGCCGGGUGUGUAAGCGCAGCGAUGCGUUGAGCUAACCGGUACUAAUGAACCGUGAGGCUUAACCUU